rnacentral:rRNA from 1 species
GGCAGGCCUAACACAUAAUAGUCGAGCGGAUGAAGGGGGCUAGCUCCUGGAUUCAGCGGCGGACGGGUGAGUAAUGCCUAGGAAUCUGCCUGGUAGUGGGGGAUAACGUCCGGAAACGGGCGCUAAUACCGCAUACGUCCUGAGGGAGAAAGUGGGGGAUCUUCGGACCUCACGCUAUCAGAUGAGCCUAGGUCGGAUUAGCUAGUUGGUGGGGUAAAGGCCUACCAAGGCGACGAUCCGUAACUGGUCUGAGAGGAUGAUCAGUCACAUUGGAACUGAGACACGGUCCAGACUCCUACGGGAGGCAGCAGUGGGGAAUUUUGGACAAUGGGCGAAANNNUGAUCCAGCCAUGCCGCGUGUGUGAAGAAGGUCUUCGGAUUGUAAAGCACUUUAAGUUGGGAGGAAGGGCAGUAAGUUAAUACCAUGCUGUUUUGACGUUACCAACAGAAUAAGCACCGGCUAACUUCGUGCCAGCAGCCGCGGUAAUACGAAGGGUGCAAGCGUUAAUCGGAAUUACUGGGCGUAAAGCGCGCGUAGGUGGUUCAGCAAGUUGGAUGUGAAAUCCCCGGGCUCAACCUGGGAACUGCAUCCAAAACUACUGAGCUAGAGUACGGUAGAGGGUGGUGGAAUUUCCUGUGUAGCGGUGAAAUGCGUAGAUAUAGGAAGGAACACCAGUGGCGAAGGCGACCACCUGGACUGAUACUGACACUGAGGUGCGAAAGCGUGGAUCUAAAAC